UAUUUCUUGCCGCCGGGUAAGAAGUUAAGCGUUAGAUUUUCUAUCAUUAGGCCUUUGAAGAUAGAAAAUUCUGGCGCUAUUUUUUU
rnacentral:ncRNA from 1 species